UACGGAGGGGCGAGCGUUGUCCGAAGUUACUGGGCGUAAAGCGCGCGUAGGCGGGUCGAAAAGUCCGCUGUGAAAGCCCGAGGCUUAACCUCGGCGGGUCGGGUGGAUACUGUCGGUCUUGAAGGUGCUAGGGGGAGAUGGAAUUACCGGUGUAUCGGUGAAAUGCGUAGAUAUCGGGAGGAACACCAGUGGCGAAGGCGGGCAUCUGGGCCAACACUGACGCUGAGGCGCGAAAGCUAGGGGAGCAAACAGG
rnacentral:rRNA from 1 species